ACGAACGCUGGCGGCGUGCUUAACACAUGCAAGUCGAGCGACAGUGUUCUUCGGAACAUAUGGAGCGGCGAACGGGUGAGUAACACGUGGGCAACCUGCCCUCAGCUCUGGGACAACUCCGGGAAACCGGGGCUAAUACCGGAUACGACCACUCCUGGCAUCUGGGGUGGUGGAAAGUUUUUCGGCUGAGGAUGGGCCCGCGGCCUAUCAGCUUGUUGGUGGGGUAAUGGCCUACCAAGGCGACGACGGGUAGCCGGCCUGAGAGGGCGACCGGCCACACUGGGACUGAGACACGGCCCAGACUCCUACGGGAGGCAGCAGUGGGGAAUAUUGCGCAAUGGGCGGAAGCCUGACGCAGCGACGCCGCGUGAGGGAUGACGGCCUUCGGGUUGUAAACCUCUUUCAGCAGGGACGAAGCGCAAGUGACGGUACCUGCAGAAGAAGCACCGGCCAACUACGU
rnacentral:rRNA from 1 species